UACGAAGGGGCUAGCGUUGCUCGGAAUCACUAGGGCGUAAAGGUGCGUAGGCGGGUCUUUAAGUCAGGGGUGAAAAUCCUGGAGCUCAACGUGCCAGAACUGCCUUUGAUACUGGAAGAUCUUGAGUUCGGGAGGAGGUGAGGUGGCAACUGCGAGUGUAGAGGUGAAAUUCGUAGAUAUUCGGCAAGAACACCAGUGGCGAAGGCGGCUCACUGGCCCGUAUACUGACGCUGAUGACGCGAAAGCGGUGGGGAGCAAACAGGAUUAGAUACCCGAA
rnacentral:rRNA from 1 species